rnacentral:tRNA from 1 species
GGCAGGAUGGCCGAGUGGUCUAAGGCGCUGCGUUCAGGUCGCAGUCUCCUCUGGAGGCCGCGGGUUCGAAUCACCACUACUGUCA